AUUGAACGCUGGCGGCAGGCCUAACACAUGCAAGUCGAACGAGUGGCGGACGGGUGAGUAAUGUCUGGGAAACUGCCCGAUGGAGGGGGAUAACUACUGGAAACGGUAGCUAAUACCGCAUACUAUCGGAUGUACCCAGAUGGGAUUAGCUAGUAGGUGGGGUAAAGGCUCACCUAGGCGACGAUCUCUAGCUGGUCUGAGAGGAUGACCAGCCACACUGGAACUGGGACACGGCCCAGACUCCUACGGGAGGCAGAAGUGGGGAAUAUUGCACAAUGGGGGAAAGCCUGAUGCAGACAGGCCGGGUGUAUGAAGAAGGCCUUAGGGUUGUAAAGUACUUUCAGCGGGGAGGCGGUACCCGAAGAAGAAGCACCGGCUAACUCCGUGCCAGCAGCCGCGGUAAUUC
rnacentral:rRNA from 1 species